GAUGAACGCUGGCGGCGUGCUUAAUACAUGCAAGUCGAACGAGGAACUUUUGUCUUCGGAUAGAGGUUUCCUAGUGGCGAACGGGUGAGUAACGCGUUGGUGACCUGCCCCGAAGUGGGGGAUAACAGUUCGAAAGGACUGCUAAUACCGCAUGAGGUCGUUGAAGUUAGAGGUUUGACGACGAAAAGGAGAAAUCCGCUUUGGGAGGGGCCUGCGUCCCAUCAGCUAGUUGGUAAGGUAAAAGCUUACCAAGGCGAAGACGGGUAGGGGGCCUGAGAGGGUGACCCCCCACACUGGCACUGAAACACGGGCCAGACACCUACGGGUGGCAG
rnacentral:rRNA from 1 species